rnacentral:rRNA from 1 species
AGUGAACGCUGGCGGUAUGCCUAACACAUGCAAGUCGAACGGCAGCACAGUAAGAGCUUGCUCUUACGGGUGGCGAGUGGCGGACGGGUGAGGAAUACAUCGGAAUCUACUUUUUCGUGGGGGAUAACGUAGGGAAACUUACGCUAAUACCUCAUACGACCUACGGGUGAAAGCAGGGGAGCUUCGGACCUUGCGCGAUUGAAUGAGCCGAUGUCGGAUUAGCUAGUUGGCGGGGUAAAGGCCCACCAAGGCGACGAUCCGUAGCUGGUCUGAGAGGAUGAUCAGCCACACUGGAACUGAGACACGGUCCAGACUCCUACGGGAGGCAGCAGUGGGGAAUAUUGGACAAUGGGCGCAAGCCUGAUCCAGCAAUACCGCGUGGGUGAAGAAGGCCUUCGGGUUGUAAAGCCCUUUUGUUGGGAAAGAAAAGCAGCAGGUUAAUACCCCGCUGUUCUGACGGUACCCAAAGAAUAAGCACCGGCUAACUUCGUG